GAUGAACGCUGGCGGCGUGCCUAACACAUGCAAGUCGAGCGAUGAAGUUCUCUUCGGAGAACGGAUUAGCGGCGGACGGGUGAGUAACACGUGGGCAACCUGCCUUGUAGAGGGGAAUAGCCUUCCGAAAGGAAGAUUAAUACCGCAUAAUAUUAUUGAGUGGCAUCACUCGAUAAUCAAAGGAGCAAUCCGCUACAAGAUGGGCCCGCGUCGCAUUAGUUAGUUGGUGGGGUAAUGGCCUACCAAGACGACGAUGCGUAGCCGACCUAAGAGGGUGAUCGGCCACAUUGGGACUGAGACACGGCCCAGACUCCUACGGGAGGCAGCAGUGGGGAAUAUUGCACAAUGGAGGAAACUCUGAUGCAGCAACGCCGCGUGAGCGAUGAAGGUCUUCGGAUCGUAAAGCUCUGUCUUCGGGGAUGAUAAUGACAGUACCCGAGGAGGAAGCCAC
rnacentral:rRNA from 1 species